CAGGAAACGGGCGUGACCUUCAGUGUGUAACUCUCUUUGGCUUAGGCAACUCAGAAGAGGACUUACAAUUGAAGGCUUUCUGCUAGCAACGCUUUCUGCUAGCAACACACCCUGCAACUGGAGGAACACAUUCUUGAGUCUGGAAGUAGAACCGGGUGCCCCACAGCAUCCGUUAUUCCUACACAUUACACUGGUAAAUUAUUUAUCCUUCAGAAGGUGCUGUCUCGAUUUGCACUCCUCUGUUAUUAAUGGCACUUUUUAAAAACUGAAAUUGUUUUUUUUUACGUAAUUUCUCCAACCACACGGUGAGUGUCUCAUGAGAAAGAAUGUUGUAUUCACCACCACCUAUUUCCUCAGUCUCCACUUUUCGGGCUGAACCCGAGAGCCAGCGUGCAGCGCAGCUGGGGGCGUGACCGACAUGAGAUGAAAACUGCGCAGACUCAGCAACUCAGCCCCAAUAGGAGGGCACGAGCCCCAGCGUCCUCGGUUUCCAUAGUGACAGAGCCUACUUCUGGUCUCUAACCGCCACGGUUUCCCUUCUUAGCUCCGGGCGCACCCAGGAAAGACAAAAAUACGCAUAAGGCCAGCCGUUUGACCCCUUGCUGCGGAAGAUAAAGGGCUCCACUCUAAACGUGGUGAUCCUGGUAAACGCAGGAGUUGGGGGAGCGUGCAAGACCCUGAGAAUUUUCCUUCUUUACCCGCCCCCAGGCCUAGCCCACCCACCUAGACCGCGAUCAGCCCUCCCUUUAUAAGGGGAGUGUGCUCUGGUAUAAGAUUUGUUAGGUGAUUAAAUAUAAAGAAAACCUGUUAACCACCUACCCUACCUUCAAGAAACAUCCCCCACUAGCCAGCUUUAAUACAUAAAUUAUGUCUCUGGAAAAUUGUCACUUGGGGUCUUGAAGGCCCAUUAGUCUGCAAGUCACCCAGAAGGUCAGUCCCCUUGUGAAGGGGUGUGUAUGUCCCAAGAGGGACACAGGGCUGGGAGGCAGAAGAUCUGGGCUCUGAACUGGCCGUUACCCAGCUUUGUGAUCCGAAACUCGCUCUGCUCCUCUGAAGAGUGGUUUGUGGAAUGUGAUGGAGCUGUGGGCUUCUCUCAAGCCUCUGUCUCUCAGCCUUCUAAGACUGCAUUUCGUUAUCAGUUCACCCCUGGGAGCUGCUUGGCAGAACUGGCCCUACACACCAGGAAACUGGAGGAAGGAUGAAAGACUGGAAGGACUGUGGUUGUGGAGGAGACCAAAGGAAUGCCGCCCGCGGUAGAAUGUUGGCAGGUCUUGCAUAGCGCUACAGACACAACAUGUGGUGGCCUAAGCACCCUAAUUUCUUUGUUUCUGCCUAGCCAGUAUAACAGUCCAGAAAACCUCCUUUCCUUUAGGAAAUACUCAGGGAUAUUAAAAUCGAAUUCAGAAAAGAAUUGGCUCAUGCAUGAAACUAUUAUAGACUAACACAAUAUCUCUAGGUCCCAGAACAUUAGAACCCGGAGCUAGUAAACAAUCUGGUGUGUGCAGACUGCAGGCUUCAAGGCAGUGUUUAUAGAUAGACUUGACAAGCAACAAAAACAGAUCUAUUUUGAUUGGAUUCUGUAUUCAAACUUAAAGAUCCUCUUCCAACCCAGAGAUUGGACUUCAGGGCUCCAGAAAAUUCAGUUUAAAACUAUGACUUAAACAAUGCUAUUAACUUGAUCUAUAGGUCGUUAUGUAUCAUUGUAUCAUAUAUAAUUAUAUAUAUAUAUAUACACACACACACACUAUAUCUAUUAGAAUAUCCCCACCCAACAAAGAACAGAAUACACAUUAUUUUCAAGUACACAUAGAGCAUUGAUAAAGAUACAUCGCAUUUUAAGCCAUAAAACACACCUUAACAAAUUAUUAAAAAUUGAAACUAUACAAAAUGUUUUCUCUAAACAUAAAAUAGUUAAACUAAAAAUUACAGAUGUCUGAAAAACUACUUGAUAUUUGAGAUUUAAACAGCAUACUUCUAAAUAACCCAUGAAUCCAAGCAGAAGUAGAUGUCAAUUGGUAAAUAUUUUGAACUAAAUGGAAGUGAAGAGUUCAAAAUUUGUGGGAUGCAGCUAAAAUGGUGCUUAGAAAGACAUUGAUUAGAAAAGGUCUCAAAAUUAGUGAUAAACCACCUUAAUAAACUUGAAAGAGAAGAGCAA
rnacentral:lncRNA from 1 species